ACGGGUGAGUAACGCGUGGGGAUGUACCUAGAGGUGCGGAAUAACUCAGGGAAACUUGAGCUAAUACCGCAUGAGCCCGAGAGGGGAAAGAUUUAUCGCCUUUAGAUCAACCCGCGUCAGAUUAGCUAGUUGGUGAGGUAACGGCUCACCAAGGCGACGAUCUGUAGCUGGUCUGAGAGGAUGACCAGCCACACUGGGACUGAGACACGGCCCAGACUCCUACGGGAGGCAGCAGUGGGGAAUAUUGGACAAUGGGCGCAAGCCUGAUCCAGCCAUGCCGCGUGAGUGAUGACGGCCUUAGGGUUGUAAAGCUCUUUCGACGGGGACGAUAAUGACGGUACCCGUAGAAGAAGCCCCGGCUAACUUCGUGCCAGCAGCCGCGGUAAUACGAAGGGGGCUAGCGUUGUUCGGAAUUACUGGGCGUAAAGCGCACGUAGGCGGAUUGUUAAGUCGGGGGUGAAAUCCUGAGGCUCAACCUCAGAACUGCCUCCGAUACUGGCGAUCUUGAGUUCGGAAGAGGUUGGUGGAACAGCUAGUGUAGAGGUGAAAUUCGUAGA
rnacentral:rRNA from 1 species